rnacentral:tRNA from 1 species
UCAUUAUGUAGCUUAAUAUAAAGCAUUGGUCUCUUAAACCAAAUUAUAGUUUUAUACUCUUAAUGAA